UCGCUGUGAUGAUUUUCUUCCUUCCCAUUCGCAGUUUCCUCCAGAGGUCUAAAGACCUAAGAUGGUUCAAACCUUCCUUGGAUGUCUGAGCGA
rnacentral:snoRNA from 1 species